GGAGGGUGCAAGCGUUGUCCGGAUUUAUUGGGGUUUAAAGGGGUGCGUAGGCGGCCUAUUAAGUCAGUGGUGAAAGGUAUCAGCUUAACUGAUGACGUGCCAUUGAAACUGACAGGCUUGAGUACAGACGAGGUAGGCGGAAUUUAUGGUGUAGCGGUGAAAUGCAUAGAUACCAUAAAGAACACCAAUUGCGAAAGCAGCUUACUAGACUGAGACUGACGCUGAGGCACGAAAGCGUGGGGAGCGAACAGGAUUAGAUACCCUGGUAGUCCACGCUGUAAACGAUGAUUACUGGAUGUGUGCGAUAGACAGUACGCGUCUGAGCGAAAGCGUUAAGUAAUCCACCUGGGGAGUACGAUCGCAAGAUUG
rnacentral:rRNA from 1 species